rnacentral:rRNA from 1 species
GCAAGUGGAACGCAUGAUUGAUACCGUAGCUUGCUACACCAUAAUCAUGAGUCGCGAACGGGUGAGUAACGCGUAGGUAACCUGCCUACUAGCGGGGGAUAACUAUUGGAAACGAUAGCUAAUACCGCAUAAGAGUUUUUAACACAUGUUAGAAAUUUAAAGGAGCAAAUGCUUCACUAGUAGAUGGACCUGCGUUGUAUUAGCUAGUUGGUAAGGUAACGGCUUACCAAGGCGACGAUACAUAGCCGACCUGAGAGGGUGAUCGGCCACACUGGGACUGAGACACGGCCCAGACUCCUACGGGAGGCAGCAGUAGGGAAUCUUCGGCAAUGGGGGGAACCCUGACCGAGCAACGCCGCGUGAGUGAAAGAAGGUUUUCGGAUCGUAAAGCUCUGUUGUAAGAGAAGAACGUUGAGUAGAGUGGAAAGUUACUCAAGUGACGGUAUCUUACCAGAAAGGGACGGCUAACUACGUGCCAGCAGCUGC